UUAUAAUUGUAUAAAAAUUAUUUUGAGUCAUGUUCCCGUUACAAUUACAAAGACAGGCAAGGAAGUUGCAAGAAAGAGGUUGGCAACCGAGAUGGUUCCGAAAGGAUGAAGAGGGUUGUUAUCGUUAUGUUGGGGGAUACUGGAAGAGAGGGAAAAAGCCAACUGGGAAGAGAUUCCAGAUAUAUUUGGACAGACUAUUGAUUUACAUCCUUCCACAGUGGAUGAAUGAUCCACUAUUUUGCUUAGUUUCUCUGUCCCGUCGAAUUGUGAAGGCAGAGUCAAAUGUUCCAUGGAAUUGUCCAGAUAUAGAAAAUGAAGUUCCGUGAAAUUUAGUGACUCUGCAAUGUUCCAUCUGUAGAUUUAUCGCUGUGCCGUUCUUGUAGUGAAGUUUCUCAUCUCGCUUAUUCAUGAGAACUGGUUGCAAUUAAUCUAAAGGAGAUGCACAAUUACUACUA